rnacentral:lncRNA from 1 species
AGUUUUAAGGAUCAAAUUGACAAUAAUUUAACAAUUUGUUUUAUUUUUUUAUAAACUACAAGUAAUCCUUGACUUACACAUGGUCAGUUCAAACCUACCAUUGUAAGUUGGAGCAAUCACAAGUCAUAAAUGUUUAAAAUUUAUGGAUUUCUCACUAUUAGUGUUUACUGAGACAUUAUACAUUAUCUUAAUAAACAUAAAGAACACAAGACCCAGAUACAAAAAAGGAUUCUUUCCAUAUAUCAAAUUAUAGGGUCAGGAACUUGAAUCCAUGGAAUUAUAUUAACCAAUCACAGACUUUACUGAUUGCAUCACUCUCAUAAGUACAAGUAUUUAUAAGUCAAGGACUACCUGUAUUUUGCUACAUUGCCAUAAUAUAUUAUUUUUUAUACUAUCUCAUAUUAUAAAUUCUGCUGAAACAUUUAAUGUAAUAAUUGUUUUCAAUGAUAAAAUUUAAUAAACAAAAUUUACUGCUUUAUGAUAUUAACUUUGUGCUCUGUAACAGAAAUAAAUAUAUCAGCAAAAUUAUUAUGAUAAUCCUCCUCUUGACAACUUGCUUUACUUUAAAAAUUAUAUUUACUUAUAUACUGUACAACUUUAUUCUAUUAAUAAUCAAUGUUAAGAAUUUCAUAAAUAUUAUUAAAAGAAUCAAAACAAUUAUUGAUAUUUAUUGUUUGUUUCUUUCAUUGUCAGUUGUAUGUACAGUAUAUAAUAUAAAUUGAAAUAAUUUAUCAAUACUUACUUUGCUUAUGAAAUACUUAAAAAAAGAAGAUAAAAAUUAUGCUUAAAGCACUAUGCUCUUAUAACUUUCAAAUCAAAUUUUUAUAAAUAAAACUGAAAUUGUUAUACAAUAAAAAUAUUUUCUAUAUUUUCUGGAAGAUGAAAUAUAAGUUUAUUUAAUAUUAAUUUUUAAUCCUCAAGUGGAAGUAGUGAUGAAUAGAGUAGCCAAUAUGCAAAUAAUUAUUGUGGGGAGAUAAUUCAUUCCAUCUUUCUCAUCUUCUAUUUAUAUUCACAGUGAAAAUGUCAUAUUAUUUCAAUAGUUCUUACAAAAAUAAUAAUCAAAUUCAUUUUAAAAUUUAUUCGUAUUUAAUAUAAAUAUUUCUUAUUAGUUAAAAAGCAGUUUUAUAUUUCACAGGCGAUCAUAGUUUACAAAUGAUUUUUGCAUAAAUAUAGUUAUAUUUUUAAUAUUUUAUCAUCAUUUUUAUGCAUUAUAUGUUCAUUAAAAUAAUUGCUUGCCUUGUAACACUUUACCAC